UACGUAGGGAGCGAGCGUUGUCCGGAAUCAUUGGGCGUAAAGCGCGCGUAGGCGGCCCGAUAAGUCCGCUGUAAAAGUCAACGGCUCAACUGUUGAAAGCCGGUGGAUACUGUCGGGCUAGAGUACGGAAGAGGCAAGUGGAAUUCCUGGUGUAGCGGUGGAAUGCGCAGAUAUCAGGAGGAACACCCAUAGCGAAGGCAGCUUGCUGGGACGUUACUGACGCUAAGGCGCGAAAGCUAGGGGAGCGAACAGG
rnacentral:rRNA from 1 species